rnacentral:rRNA from 1 species
AUUGAACGCUGGCGGCAAGCCUAACACAUGCAAGUCGAACGAGUGGCGGACGGGUGAGUAAUGUCUGGGAAACUGCCUGAUGGAGGGGGAUAUCUACCGGAAACGGUAGCUAAUACCGCAUACCCUCGGAUGUGCCCAGAUGGGAUUAGCUAGUUGGUGGGGUAAUGGCGCACCUAGGCGACGAUCCCUAGCCGGUCUGAGAGGAUGACCAGCCAACCUGAAACUGAGACACGGUCCAGACUCCUACGGGGGGCAGCAGUGGGGAAUAUUGCACAAUGGGCGCAAGCCUGAUGCAGCCAUGCCGCGUGUAUGAAGAAGGCCUUCGGGUUGUAAAGUACUUUCAGCGGGGAGGCGUUACCCGCAGAAGAAGCACCGGCUGACGCCGUGCCAGCAGCCGCGGUAAUAC